rnacentral:rRNA from 1 species
AGUGAACGCUGGCGGUAGGCCUAACACAUGCAAGUCGAACGGCAGCACAGUAAGAGCUUGCUCUUACGGGUGGCGAGUGGCGGACGGGUGAGGAAUACAUCGGAAUCUACUUUUUCGUGGGGGAUAACGUAGGGAAACUUACGCUAAUACCGCAUACGACCUACGGGCGAAAGCAGGGGAUCUUCGGACCUUGCGCGAUUGAAUGAGCCGAUGUCGGAUUAGCUAGUUGGCGGGGUAAAGGCCCACCAAGGCGACGAUCCGUAGCUGGUCUGAGAGGAUGAUCAGCCACACUGGAACUGAGACACGGUCCAGACUCCUACGGGAGGCAGCAGUGGGGAAUAUUGGACAAUGGGCGCAAGCCUGAUCCAGCCAUACCGCGUGGGUGAAGAAGGCCUUCGGGUUGUAAAGCCCUUUUGUUGGGAAAGAAAAACAGCAGGUUAAUACCCCGCUGUUCUGACGGUACCCAAAGAAUAAGCACCGGCUAACUUCGUG